AUGGCCGGGAGGAAGGGCGGCGAGAGGAAGAAGGCGGUGACCCGGUCCGUGAAGGCCGGGCUCCAGUUCCCCGUCGGCCGCAUCGGGCGCUUCCUCAAGAAGGGCCGCUACGCGCAGCGCGUCGGCUCCGGCGCCCCCGUCUACCUCGCCGCCGUCCUCGAGUACCUCGCCGCCGAGGUCCUGGAGCUGGCCGGCAACGCGGCCAAGGACAACAAGAAGACGCGCAUCGUGCCGCGGCACCUGCUGCUGGCCGUCCGCAACGACCAGGAGCUCGGCAGGCUGCUGGCCGGCGUCACCAUCGCCCACGGCGGCGUGAUCCCCAACAUCAACCCCGUGCUGCUGCCCAAGAAGUCCGCCGCCGCCGCCGAGAAGGAGGCCACCGCCAAGUCGCCCAAGAAGAAGGCCGCCGCCAAGUCCCCCAAGAAGAAGGCCGCCGCCACCAAGGAGUAG
rnacentral:rRNA from 1 species